rnacentral:rRNA from 1 species
UGGUGGAGCGAUUUGUCUGGUUAAUUCCGAUAACGAACGAGACUCUGGCCUAUUAAAUAGUUCGCCGAUUCCGAUCUGUCGGCGUUAACUUCUUAGAGGGACAAGUGGCUUUUAGCCACGCGAGAUUGAGCAAUAAC